rnacentral:rRNA from 1 species
UACGGAGGAUGCAAGCGUUAUCCGGAUUUAUUGGGUUUAAAGGGUGCGCAGGUUGUUUGAUAAGUCAGUGGUGAAAGUCUGUCGCUUAACGGUAGGAUUGCCAUUGAUACUGUUAGACUUGAAUAUGGAUGAGGUAGGCGGAAUGUGUAGUGUAGCGGUGAAAUGCAUAGAUAUUACACAGAACACCGAUUGCGAAGGCAGCUUACUAAUCCAUCAUUGACGCUGAGGCACGAAAGCGUGGGUAGCGAACAGGA